rnacentral:lncRNA from 1 species
UGCUUUUGUUGUUGUGGUUGAUGCUCUAUACAACCCUAAAGUCAUUUAUAAAUGUUAGACUUGCUGCUUUUGUUGUUGUGGUUGAUGCUCUAUACAACCCUAAAGUCAUUUAUAAUGUUUAAACUGCUGCUUUUUUGUUGUGUGUUGAUGCUCUAUACAACCCUAAAGUCAUUUAUAAAUGUUAAACUAUGGCUUUUGUUGUGGUUGAUGUACAUUUUUUUGUUUGUCCUGUUCUUAUUUUACGAGCUGCAAGA